ACUCAACUGAUGAGUUCUAAACAGGAUGAAACGCACGUCGUGGAU
rfam:Schistosoma margrebowiei strain Zambia genome assembly, scaffold: SMRZ_scaffold0000601